rnacentral:rRNA from 1 species
UAGUCCACGCCGUAAACGAUGUCUACUAGGUUGUGGGAGUUCUGACACUUUCACGGCCGAAGCAAAAGUGUUAAGUAGACCGCCUGGGGAGUACGGUCGCAAGGCUAAAACUCAAAGGAAUUGACGGGGGCUCACACAAGCGGUGGAGCAUGUGGAUUAAUUCGAAGCAACGCGCAGAACCUUACCUGGGUUUGACAUGUUUGGAUGCUAACUGGGAAACCAGGGAUGCUGCCUUUCGGGGUGAAACUUACACAGGUGCUGCGUGGCUGUCGUCAGCUCGUGUCGUGAGAUGUCGGGUUAAGUCCUUUAACGAGCGAAACCCUUGCCGUUAGUUGCCAGCGAGUAAUGUCGGGGACUCUAGCGGGACUGCCGGUGUUAAACCGGAGGAAGGUGGGGAUGACGUCAAGUCCUCAUGGCCUUUAUGCCCAGGGCUUCACACGUGCUACAAUGGUAACUACAGAGCGAAGCGAGACCGCGAGAUGGAGCAAAUCGCAAAAAGUUGCCUCAGUUCGGAUUGU